AACGAACGCUGGCGGCAGGCCUAACACAUGCAAGUCGAGCGGACCUUUCGGGGUCAGCGGCGGACGGGUGAGUAACGCGUGGGAAUAUGCCCUUCUCUACGGAAUAGUCCUGGGAAACUGGGGGUAAUACCGUAUACGCCCUUUGGGGGAAAGAUUUAUCGGGGAAGGAUUAGCCCGCGUUGGAUUAGGUAGUUGGUGGGGUAAUGGCCUACCAAGCCGACGAUCCAUAACUGGUUUGAGAGGAUGAUCAGCCACACUGGGACUGAGACACGGCCCAGACUCCUACGGGAGGCAGCAGUGGGGAAUCUUAGACAAUGGGGGCAACCCUGAUCUAGCCAUGCCGCGUGAGUGAUGAAGGCCUUAGGGUUGUAAAGCUCUUUCAGCUGGGAAGAUAAUGACGGUACCAGCAGAAGAAGCCCCGGCUAACUCCGUG
rnacentral:rRNA from 1 species